UACAGAGGUCUCAAGCGUUGCUCGGAAUCACUGGGCGUAAAGCGCACGUAGGCGGCUUGUUAAGUCAGGGGGUGAAAUCCUGGAGCUCAACUCCAGAACUGCCUUUGAUACUGGCGAGCUUGAGUUCGGGAGAGGUGAGUGGAACUGCGAGUGUAGAGGUGAAAUUCGUAGAUAUUCGCAAGAACACCAGUGGCGAAGGCGGCUCACUGGCCCGAUACUGACGCUGAGGCACGAAAGCGUGGGAGCAAACAGG
rnacentral:rRNA from 1 species